CCUACGGGAGGCAGCAGUGGGGAAUAUUGGACAAUGGGGGGAACCCUGAUCCAGCCAUGCCGCGUGUGUGAAGAAGGCCCUCGGUUUGUAAAGCACUUUCAGUGAGGAAGAACGCCUGGUGGUGAAUACCCAUCAGUAAAGACAUCACUCACAGAAGAAGCACCGGCUAACUCCGUGCCAGCAGCCGCGGUAAUACGGAGGGGGCGAGCGUUAAUCGGAAUUACUGGGCGUAAAGCGCGCGUAGGUGGCUUGAUAAGCCGGUUGUGAAAGCCCCGGGCUCAACCUGGGAACGGCAUCCGGAACUGUCAAGCUAGAGUGCAGGAGAGGAAGGUAGAAUUCCCGGUGUAGCGGUGAAAUGCGUAGAGAUCGGGAGGAAUACCAGUGGCGAAGGCGGCCUUCUGGACUGACACUGACACUGAGGUGCGAAAGCGUGGGUAGCAAACAGGAUUAGAUACCCCGGUAGUC
rnacentral:rRNA from 1 species